rnacentral:rRNA from 1 species
UACGAAGGGGGCUAGCGUUGCUCGGAAUCACUGGGCGUAAAGGGUGCGUAGGCGGAUCUUUAAGUCAGGGGUGAAAUCCUGGAGCUCAACUCUAGAACUGCCUUUGAUACUGAGGAUCUCGAGUUCGGGAGAGGUGAGUGGAACUGCGAGUGUAGAGGUGAAAUUCGUAGAUAUUCGUCAAGAACACCGAUUGCGAAGGCAGCUGACGAAACUAUAACUGACACUGAGGCUCGAAAGUGCGGGGAUCAAACAGG